CCAUCCCCCUGCUGAGCACAUGGACUUGGAGUUAUUCAGAACUGGGUUCAAAUCCCACUGUGGCUGCUGUGUGAACUUGGGCAAGUUGCCUGACCUCUCUGGGCCCCAGUUACACUUCUCUAUAGCAGGGAUGGCAGUCCACACCUUGUUGGCUGUGGUGGGAGAUCACUAAGAUGCCUCCCAGCCGCCCGGCCUCCCCAGGCUCUCCUGCCUUAGGAGCCUCUGCAAGGCGCCUCGGCUGCCUGGGACAGCUUCCCCACAGUGGGCCCACUGCCCCUUCCCUCAGCACCCAGCUCAGGCGUCCGUCCUCCAGGAAGCCAUGACACCGUGACAGGCCAGCCUCACAACGCCAGCAGAGGGUUUGAAGAAACGGAGCCUCGGACCGGGGCCACUGGCUCAGGUCUGCCUUGGGGGAGAAGGUGCCGAUCACAGGCCGAGAGUGGUUCUCAUGGUGUCCCAGAACUGCUCAGUACAGACACACGCAUCAGCCUGAAGGUUCACACAGGUUACCUAACAAUGUAUCCAACAGGAUCAUAGUGCUGUGAUUGAAAGAAAACUUUACUAACAUGACUUUAAACUGCAUGAUGCUUACACAGCAGAAACAGAACGGGUAAUCGAUGGAAGGCUGUUACCGAUGUUUGAUGUUAUCAUCAGGCAUGAACAUUUUUUGAGGUCUACAAUGUUCUGGGACUUUGCUGAGCCUACAGGGGAUGAGGAGACAUUGAGACCAUCUUCAAAGGACUCAGCCAAAGGAUGGAAUAGGACAGAGAGGAGCCUGGCUCCCUGGGGCUCAAAGGAAGACAGCCAGCCCAGCCUGGAGGCAUCUAGGAAGGUGUCCUAAGGAUGAAACUCAAGUCCUGAAAGAUGAGUAGGUGAUCAUCCGUCAAGAAGACGAGAGCAUGCUGAUGGGAAGAAAGAGAAUGCGCCAUGGCCCACAGCGAGAGCAUGGUGCAGCCUUUGGGGAAGUCUACAGCGCGGGCACAGAGAGGGCAGGUGCAGGGAGGCUGGGCUGCCAGAAAGGUGAGAGGCCUCGGAGGAUUUUAUCCUGAAAACCGGGGGGCCACGAAAAGAUUGUCAGCAAAGGAUCCACUUGAUGUGUGUUAGAUUCUGGAACCAUUAUCCUGGAGGCUGGUAGAGUGUGGGCCAGCUUGGGCCUUGCUGUGGAAAGACCAGGGCCAGCAAAAGGAGGGGGCUACUGAGGCUAUAAAAUAGCACUGACCCAAAGCCAGGGGGGGAUGUGUGGUCCUCAGAAGCGAUGGGUAGUCAGCAGGGGCCAAGCCGGGAGGGCUAGGAAGCCUUCUGGGGGGCCGCCCGCACAGGCUGAGCAGAACUGUAGCGGACUCGGGACCUGCUGGGUCAAUGGCUCUGAGGGUUGCGUUGGGUGACCUGCAGCUUCAGCCAGAGGGCCAGGCAGCCAUGUGUGUGCACAACACCUGGCCAUGCACGCUCGCCUCCUGUAGGGCAGGCUGGUGGUCCCUGUGCUCCUUCACUGCCAGCUUCUCCUCCCAGCCCUGCCCUGACCUCCAGAGCAGCUAGAGAUGAUUGGGGACGCUGUCAGAGGGCCCGUCCGAGCCAAGUCCUCAAGGUCCCUGGAGCCCCAGGAUGAGAAGCUGGCUCGGGGUGCAGAGCGGAGGCGCUGGGCGAGCAGCUUUCUCGGGAGCCCGGCACGCCGAGGGCACCACGCAUUGAGAAAUGCCCCCGCCACACUCCGCCUGCUCGGGUGGGUCAACUGGGGCAGCUGAGGGAAACCCAGGGCAGAGGGCUGGGAGGGCAUCAGGGUGACAGAGAAGCAGGAGGCUGAGUUCUGGUGCUGCUCCCCCCUCUGAAAAGAGGGAACAUGCUGUACGUGCAUGACCUCAACCAGGAAACCUGAAGCUUGUUGAUCUUGAGUGCCCGCCGGAAUCCUGGCUUGAUUCUGGGCUCACUCCCCGGGGCGUGCGUUUCCAGCCUGCAGAUGCUGGAUCUCGGGGCUCGGUGGGAGGGACACGAGGUUGCAGUGGGAUCUGUGGACAUGGGUCCCUCUGCCAUCAAGGCCAGCCAGGGAGGCAGCACCUCCUGGGGAACAGCCAGAAACUUCCCAGGGCUCUGCUCCCAGCCACCGGCUCUCUCUGCGCUCUGCUCAAGCCUAGGCUUGUCUUUGUGUGUUUGUUUUUAAAUUAUUGAGCAGCUACUGGAUACCAGGUCUUGUGCAGGGUGCAUUAGAUGCAUUGUUUCAUUUCACUCUUGGAACAAUUCUGCAAGGGUUCAGCCCCAUUUAAUAGAGGAAGAAACGAAGGGUCAAUGAGAGUCAGUUACCCAGUGAGGAGAAGAAGCAGAGAUGCAAACCAGGUGUGAGAUGAUCCAGGUCUUGGCAUUUUUUCUUAAGAGAACAUCCUUCACAGAACAGAGGCCUGAGAGGCUCUUAAACCCACUGACUUGACCAGGUCACUGGAGCAGAGCCUGCGGCUUCCGGACUCUGUCUGAGACCCUGGUUAGGGAGCGUGAGCCCAGGGAGAGGGGGCGAUCGGGGGAGAGAGCAGGGAGCCACAGAGGGCUGAUGCUCGGAUCCAGUUGGCAGCAGCCUCCUGGGCCCGAGCUCUGAGAAGCUGCACAAGCUCAUCCUGGGGGAGAAAGGAAGCUCGAUACCCGCUCCUGCCCCCGCUCUCUCAGGUGGCGACCGCGCAGCCCCCAGGCGAGGGGUGCUCGUUCCAGGAGCACAGAGCCUGUCCUUGCGGAGGCACAGAGGUGGCUGGAGCAGGAGGCAGCUGAGGUCCAGAGGGUCUGAGGUGGUGUAAAGAGGCUGAUGCAUCCAGUCUUGUCAUCAUACAGCUGGGGACAGAGCCCUGGAGAGGGGAUGUGAAAGGUCAUGCACUGGUGGCUGAAUCAGGACUUGCUUGAGGUCAUCUGACUCCUCGACCACUGAGGGGACCAUGGUGGUGAGAGGCAGGGAGUGGCCUGGCCCUCUGUGGGUGUGUGUGUGUGUGUGUGUGUGUGUAGAGUUUGUGUGUGUGAGAGAGAGAGACAGAGUAUUUGGAGCCACAUGUAGGUGGCCAGGAAAUGGAGCAUAGUCACAACUCUCUCUAGAAAGUUCUCAGGAGUGUAUGCUCCAGUAUAAAGGAGGAUCCUCCCCCCGACCCCAGGGUUGGGAGGUCCCAGCCCUGAGUCCAGACCCCCAUCCCUGUCUUCAGUGGAGUGUCGGGCCAGCCCAUCCCAGCCAGUGCAGUGACACUGGUCACUCCCAGGAGGAGAGGGGGCGAUGGGACGGCACGUGUUUUGGGCUGUGGCGCUGCUCCUGCUGGGUCCUCAGGAAGCCCAGGGGCCCAGAUAGAGCAGGAAUGAUGAGUAACCGGGCUUUGGCAUCCAAGUAAAACCCACCCCAAACCCCAGACCAAACCACCUCCCGAGCCUGCCAGCUGCCGCUGCCAGAGUAAUCAGUACCCAUUGUUCUCCCAGACAAACGUUCCCUCAGCACUUUCGACCACUGCGUUCCGGGGAACGGCUUUAGGUGUGGGCUUACAUCAUGUGGACGGACACAGCUUAAUGGGAUCUGUUCCCCAAACUGCUCCACCCCGCGGCCUGCCACGGCAGGGUCACAGGGGACGAAGGCAGCUGCCGACUGGAUCAGGGCGGAGAGCCGGCGCCCAGCCUGGGCAGACUCUGGUCCUUGAAGGUUGGCUGACCUUGGCCUCUGGUUCCUCGACCACGCAAGGGGAAAUCACACGUGGCCCGCACUAUCUCAUAG
ensembl:lncRNA